rfam:Ailuropoda melanoleuca scaffold317_80, whole genome shotgun sequence.
GUCACCUUGGGAUCUUGUUAAAAUGCAUAUUCUGAUUCACUAUGUUUGGCCUAAGAUUCUGCAUUUUUAACAAGCUCCCAGGUGAUGUUGA